rnacentral:lncRNA from 1 species
GGUAAUAGCCCAAACAAAAAAGAAAAUACAAAUAGACUAUUAUUCAGCAUCUAAUAUAGGACAUACCAUAGGCAUCGAUCAUAAUCAAAAAUUUCAACUAUUCUGAAAUGGCAGAGUUUGUCUCCCAACAAACCUCUCCCAUUCAUCCUUUUAAAGCCAACCAAUCAGUUAUUCGGUUCCUAUUGCAAUAAAUGUAGAUAGCUUUGAACACAAUUAAAGUCGCUUUCAUCUACAAAAAAUCUUUUAACAAAAGGUGACAACCAAGAGCUUUAACCACUUCAUCAAGCCA